GUGAUCAUACCAGCACUAAUGCACCGGAUCCCAUCAGAACUCCGCAGU
rnacentral:rRNA from 1 species